rnacentral:rRNA from 1 species
GACGAACGCUGGCGGCGUGCUUAACACAUGCGAGUCGAACGGAAAGGCCUUUUCGGAGGUACUCGAGUGGCGAACGGGUGAGUAACACGUGGGUGAUCUGCCCUGCACUCUGGGAUAAGCCUGGGAAACUGGGUCUAAUACCGGAUAGGACCGCACUUUAGUGUGUGUGGUGGAAAGUUUUUUCGGUGUAGGAUGAGCCCGCGGCCUAUCAGCUUGUUGGUGGGGUAAUGGCCUACCAAGGCGGCGACGGGUAGCCGGACUGAGAGGUUGGUCGGCCACAUUGGGACUGAGAUACGGCCCAGACUCCUACGGGAGGCAGCAGUGGGGAAUAUUGCACAAUGGGCGCAAGCCUGAUGCAGCGACGCCGCGUGGGGGAUGACGGCCCUCGGGUUGGAAACUCCUUUCGCCAGGGACGAAGCGUUUUGUGACGGUACCUGGAGAAGAAGCACCGGCUAACUACGUG